AUACUUACCUAGCAGGGGAGAUACCAUGAGCAUUAAGGUUGUUUUCCCAGUAUCCAUUGUACAACUGGAUGUACUGACUCUGUUGAUCACCCCAAAUGUGGGAAAUUGAACUGCGUAAUUUGUGGUAACGGGGGACUGAGUUCAUGCUCGCACCUGAU
ensembl:snRNA U1 U1 spliceosomal RNA